UUUAAAACAUCAUCUAAUUCUAUGCUAUGUUUUUAUAGCCCUUUUCAAUUAUUUAAAGUAUAUCUUUCUUCCAUCAUUAAAAUAACCUACAAUAUAUGCUUAGUAUUUUUUAAAGUACUAAUUUCCUAAACUUGUAUUCAUUUCCGCCCCUCUAACUGAUUUUAUCACUAUAAUUAAGCCUUAUUAGUGUUUUCCGUCGUAUAUACGUGGGAGACAUCCUAAUGCACACAUUCAAGUGGUUUUAUCACAACUUGUGUUCUAUUAAACGCUUGAAUGCCUCUUUGCCUGGAGGGGCGUUGACACAGCAAAGUUUCCUUAGCCCCCCACCCCCCGCCCAAAAAAAGAAAACGCCUCCUCAAUUAACUCCCUCCUCCCGCCCUCCUCCUCUCCUUCCUCGGGGGACUGCUCAAUUCAAAUACAGCAAAAUCAACUUUUCCACUUACCUCAAUGGUGGUGCGUUCAAGGGCCUCACCUCUCGCUGCUCAAUUCCAGUUGUGAAGUGGAUGACACUCAGUGAUGAUUUGCACUAUUUAUGCACAAAAAUAGAGAGAGAGAGAGAGAGAGAGAGAGAGAGAGAGAGAGAGAGAGAGAGAGAGAGAGAGAGAGAGAGAGAGAGAGAGAGAGAGAGAGAGAGAGAGAGAGAGAGAGAGAGAGAGAGAGAGAGAGAGAGCAAGAGAGGGGAAAAGACAGACUUUUAGGAGCCAAUGGAAAGGAGGGAACAGAACACUAUAAUUUGGUCACGUGCUACAAUGCUAACUUUUCUUCUGUACUGUUUUUUUUUUUUGUUAUAUAUUUUUAUAUAUUGAUCAUUGCCAUUCAUACUUUUUUUUUAUCAGAUUCUGAUGCCCUUCCCUCCUUCUUAUCAAUGAGGGGGCGCAAUUCCAUUUACAAGUACUAAUGAUUACAAAAUAAAAAAAGAUUUAGUGUCGCAAUUUUAUAAUGCACAUGACGCACAUAGCAGAAACUGCCACUGCUCCUUCUUGACAGGGAAAGAGGCACGUCAUUAAUGCCAGCAAAAAAGUAUAAUUCAUCUCCUUUCCUUUCCAAAAACAGCCUCCACCAAAGAGCCGUCCUCCCUCCUGCUCCGUCAGCCAUCUUGUCAGCUCCCCGCUGAGCGCUUUCAUCUUCAGCUGUAUUAUAUAUAAUUCAUGGAGGCAAAGAUAUCUCCCGGCCCCCAGGGGGGAGCAUUUUACAGCUAAACGGGCGUCCGCGCUUGUCAAAGGAAAGUUUACCGAUUGGGGGUUCGCAUUUCUUGUCCCUGCUGCUAGCUCGUUAACCCCCCACUUUCCAGUCCGGACCAAGCAAGGAGGUUUCAUACCUGGAAGCUGGUCAGCAAGGACCAGCCCCUACUGGGAGCUCCGGAGCUCCCACUGGGCUUGGGGAGGAGGCGAGGCGGGCCAAACAAAAACACAAGCAGCCAUCCGCACGAAAGGUCUAUUGGGCCACCGAACCAAGGACUUUAAUCCCCAACUGACCAACAAUGCAAAAAGCCAGCCUUUGAACAGCCGACAACCCCCCCCCCCCCCCAUCCGCCUCCUCCUUUACCAAUUGCUUCGCUGCUGGAAGGCUCCAACACGGCUCCAAACGUCGGGAAAAGUAGCUGCUCUUCCUCCGUCGUCUCUUUUGAGGUAUCACACAAAGCAAAUUAAGUGCGUGAAAGAGCAUUUCAGGGCCGCACCGGGGUUCCGCUAAAGCUCCGGGUCCGAGGUCACCUGAGAUACGGUCACCAAAUAUUUGAAGGUGUCGAGCAAACCGCCACAUAAACAUAAGUAACAUUUUUAACCGUGGGUAAAAAAUGGCGGUUUGGUUUUUGAGCCUUGACAAAAUGUUUUUAUUGCGGUGUCCCUCAGGAGUCAAUUCUAAGUCCCCUUCUGUUUUCAGUAUUCCUAUUUCCUACUUUUCGCUGAAUACUUACUCGGACUAGUUUUCCUUGAGUCAUAUUGGAAAGUAGCAACAGUCAUUUGAGUCAAGUUUUUGUUUUUUCUACUCAAAUCUGGAACCAAUUAAUCCGAACCAGUGCAAGUCACCACCCAAUUAAGUUUAGUGUGUUUCACCACCUUGGAUUGUUUCUUCAUCAUCUUGACAGUUGUCCAAAUUGAGUAUAAAAUUCUGUUUGUGUGUAUGUUUGUGUGACAUUCUGACAAAAUAGGGGUUUUGUGGUCAUGAAUACUAAUGACAGCAAUUUGUCGCCUGAGCUAAUUUUCCUGUAAUUUUGCUGAUUAUCUGUCAACAAUUUGCCAGCAUUGCUGUCUGACAAUUACCGCGCACAAUGGCCGCUCCAAGACUUUCAACCUCACCACCCAAAAUGUGGACAAAGACAAACCAAUAACAAAAUGCUUUUUUUUUUUUAACAUUAAGCGCGCUGUCUCAAUGCUCCCUCAUGCCAAAACGCUUGCUAAUCACAGCCACCAAUAUUUUCCAUAGCAGGCAAUUAGCAUCUCGCUUUCAUGUGGCAAAAUGGCUGAGGAGUGUCAGCACAGUCGCAAAACACGCAGCGAGAAUAAAAGAGCAAUUAAGACGUGGGGUGAGCAGAGGACGCAAGACGAGGCGGUCUGCUGCCGUGUGAUUUGCGGCUUGCCCGGCCCGGUAAUUAGCCUCGUCAUUGUGAGAUAAUGGACUUGGCCCCUUUUCCCGCUUCUGCCGACUCGGCCCGCGAGGAGGUUGAAGGCCGCAAAUGUGCUGCUUAACAUCUGACUGGAGACCUGCCGGGUUUUAAACAAAUAGAUAUUUGUGGGUCAAAUAUCGAUCUCACAAUGUACCAUCAGUUACUGACUACUUGGUUAGUUGAAUCUCACUUAGUUAGAUUUCCGCUCUUGUGGACCUAUCAACUUUUUUAGAGACGCCGUAAUCUGUGAACCCUGAAUCAUAAUCUUUGGCUAAAUCUAUGUAAUACGGGUAAUUCGAUGAAGCAGUAUUUUCCUGCAGAGAGGCGAAAUCCUGUUGACUAUUCAAGGAUUGAAUCAUCCAACGGUAAUGCCAUUAGACCAGUGCCACGGAUUCCUGGGCAAAUGCUGUUUAAUUGCCAGUAACCAGCCAUUGUCUGGUGACGGCUACACACUAUGCAAGUGGCGUCGACGACGGGAUGGGGGGGGGCGUGUGAAAAAGAUGGCCCCCUUGUCUUGAGCCAAUCGCCAUUGAGAGACAGAUUUAUGCCCGGGCUGGAAAGUAGCAGAGGCACUGGCUUAACCAAAGUCUUCAAGAGUCUAAACGCAGAGUUACUCUCAGGCCUUUUAUCACAGGAUUUGCGCGACAAUGCGAUUUGGAAUGGGGGGGGUUGUCUAUUGAAGAUUUUUUUUUUGCGAGGAUCAAGCCUUGUCGCUCACGUUUAUUAGCGAACAACGCGAUUGUUGCCGUUGUAAUCGCCAUGUUUAUAUUUGGCUUAAAGUGGAGAAAUCGCUCGGUCCAAUGAAUGAAAGAGACUUGGAUGUUUUUGUCAAUAAAAGUGAUGGCCGCUUUUUGCCGGACAAUUGAAACGGGGGCAAUUUAAUGAGAGUUUGAAAUCGGAGGCCCGCAGUGGAGGACGCAGAUUGGAAGUGAGAGGUGUGUCGGGCCUUCAUUGUGACGGGCUGCCCGGGAGACGGGCGGCUCUGCCAGGACAGACACUGACUGGCUUUGACAGCGCAAAGAACCUUUUCUCUGUGCUCUUUUUAAUUUCCCCCCCCAAAAAAAGUCUUUUUUUUAUUUUUUAUUAUGAAGAACCCCACCAGUCCAUUCACACUCCCAUUGCUUCUGCUUGGUUCUUUUUGCUCCACUGGGAUUUAGUUAAAAAAAAC